rnacentral:misc_RNA from 1 species
GAACGCACAUUGCGCCUGGCAGUAUUCUGCCAGGCAUGCCUGUCCGCGCGUCAUUUCCCCCCUCAAGCUCUGCUUGGUGUUGGAGGACCCGCGUUUAGUCGCGGGCCGCCGAAAUGCAUCGGCUGUUGUAUAUACAGCUUCCCUGUGUAGUAAAUGCUUAGCUUUACACUUUGAAACUUUUAUAUGACAUGCCGGAAAACCCUCAACUUUUGAAAGGUUGACCUCGGAUCAGGUAGGAAUACCCGCUGAACUUAAG